UGGGGAAUUUUGCACAAUGGGGGAAACCCUGAUGCAGCGACGCCGCGUGAUUUAGAAGGCCUUCGGGUUGUAAAAAUCUUUUUUACGGGAUGAAAAUGACAGUACCGUAAGAAUAAGGUCCGGCUAAAUACGUGCCAGCAGCCGCGGUAAUACGUAUGGACCGAGCGUUGUCCGGAAUCAUUGGGCGUAAAGGGUACGUAGGCGGCCUAGUAAGUUAGAAGUGAAAUAAUAUAGCUCAACUAUAUAAAGCUUUUAAAACUGCUAGGCUUGAGAGAUGGAAGGGAAAGUGGAAUUCCUAGUGUAGCGGUGAAAUGCGCAGAUAUAGGAAGAAUACCGGUGGCGAAGGCGACUUUCUGGUCAUCAUCUGACGCUGAGGUACGAAAGCGUGGGUAGCAAACAGG
rnacentral:rRNA from 1 species